rnacentral:rRNA from 1 species
UACGUAGGGCGCAAGCGUUAUCCGGAAUCAUUGGGCGUAAAGCGCGUGUAGGCGGUUCGGUAAGUCCGCUGUGAAAGUCGGGGGCUCAACCCUCGGAUGCCGGUGGAUACUGUCGGGCUUGAGUACGGAAGAGGCGAGUGGAAUUCCUGGUGUAGCGGUGAAAUGCGCAGAUAUCAGGAGGAACACCAAUUGCGAAGGCAGCUCGCUGGGACGUUACUGACGCUGAGACGCGAAAGCGUGGGGAGCAAACAGG